AGCGCAACCCUUGCCAUUAGUUGCUACGAAAGGGCACGUCUAAUGGGACUGCCGGUGACAAACCGGAGGAAGGUGGGGAUGACGUCAAGUCCUCAUGGCCCUUAUAGGUGGGGCUACACACGUCAUACGAAUGGCCGGUACAGAGGGUAGCCAACCCGCGAGGGGAGCCAAUCCCACAAAGCCGGUCGUAGUCCGGAUCGCAGUCUGCAACUCGACUGCGUGAAGUCGGAAUCGCUAGUAAUCGCGGAUCAGCAUGUCGCGGUGAAUACGUUCCCGGGUCUU
rnacentral:rRNA from 1 species